ensembl:lncRNA
CUAAUGCCAUUAAAAUUUGGAUUCAUCUAACUUCUUUGUUUUGAUUCCACAUUUAUUAAACAACCUUCUGAUUAUUAUUUAUCUUUCCAUGUUUGUGCCUACAAGGACAAAAUGUGUUGUUCAUAUGAACUUCAAGUAUUUUAGUCCCUGUAACAAUUAUUUCACAAUGUAAAUUAAGUCACAUUCUGGUUUUAUUUAUCUACCUUGGGAGCUGGAAAUGUAAGCUUGUUCUUGAGAAGUGGAUUUACUUUUGGAAUGCUGACAAAAUCAAGUUACUAGGCGUAUAAAGCUCCAGGCCAGUUCUUGGGCCAUGGUGAAUCUACUCAGGUAAAGAAUAUCACUCUGUGAGGCCUCUUGGGAGGCAGCCAGCCUUCCUCUGGCAAACUCUCCUGCACUCACUGUGGACCUCAUGUAUACUUGGAACCCUGGCUCAAAUUUUGCCUUUUCUGUGAUUCCUUCUGUAUGCCCUCUAUCCACUUUUGGCUGUGUGGGAGUGCAUUUUAUGGGUCACACAAUCUACUGGACUCAGAGAGGCUUGCCUGCUCACAAAUUUCCCCAGGAGUCAUUUUAGAUUUCUUCUAAUAGGAAGAAACAUAUGAUGUCUGUCUUUAGAAUUGGCCAAGUGAGUUGUAUCUUUAUACUUUGCAGAAGAGAAGGCUUUGAUCAUAUUCUUUUUCAACUACAAAAUUCCAGGAUUCUUAUAGAUUCUGUGUGAAAAUUUUCUUAUAUUGUCUACUUUGUACAGAGUUGGAAUGGUCUUGGGUAUGGGCAUGAAUGCACAUCAGGAUUUUUGAUGUUAAUGAAAAUAGAAAUUUUCAUCCCUGGUAUAUGCUAGAAGGAUCAAACGUAAAUAUUUGCCAUCCAGUUAACAAAAGUACAGCUACGGUAGUUGCUAUGCCAAAAAAAAUCACAUUUGUCAUUGUAUAUACAAGUCAGGGAAAAAAUAUAAUGUAUUAUUUAGCCAGGACGUUUUUGAGAAUGAAAAUGUACACUUAAUUAUUCCAGGAGAAAGGAUAUAAAAUAGGACUAUCGUAAGUAAACAAGAGUUGUAUGUUUAUCCUACCUAGAGGCUGGACUGAUAAUGAACUGGUAUAGGUGAGUACAGUCAUACUGCUUAAUAGCUAUCAUAUGCUACAGUUGGUCAGUGCCUUCUUUUGAUGCCAUGUGCUGUUCUAUUUAAAAAAAUAUAAAAAAUCACCCUGGCAUAAAAGAUUAAAAAAUGUAUAAUUAAAAAAAUUUAUACCUGAAAUCUUGCUUAAGUAGUUCAGGGGAGAUUAUUCUAAACAAUCAAGUAUAGGAGAAAUAAAUUUUACUUGCAAUAAAAGAUCUCAUUUGAUUAUGAGUAAUAAUAUGUAAUAUUUUUAAAUUACCAGGAAAGGGUUGAUAUUACACAGGUUACAUUGCAAGUAUAGUAUUUUGGGGGAGGGGCUUCUUGUUUGCAUAUAUAUUUUUCUCAAGGUACAGGAAUAUUAUAAUAAAAUUUCUAAAAACAUACCACAAGUAUACUCCAUAUAACUUGACAUUUUUUCAAUCAUAUUAAAUAAUUCCAUAGAAUUUCAUCAAGAAAGCUAUAAUUACUAUAUUAUUCCUUUACCUUGAGGAUUUUUUCUAAUUUUUUUGCUGUUAUUCUAACAUAGUGUUCUAAUAGUAAAUUUAUAAAAAUGGCAUUAAUGAGUAAAAUGAGUAAACACUUUAGAUUCUUAAUACAUGUUUUAAAAUGUUUGUAAGAGAUCAUACUAACAUACUAUUACAGUUGUGUAUGGAAAUAGCCCUUAAAAAUAUAUAGAUCCUGAUUUUAAUAAAAGUUCAUUCUUUAUGCUCUAUUUAGAAAACAUUUCUUUUAUAAGGAGAUAUUUGCUUUUUUUGUGUAAUAAUUUUAGCUUAUGGCCUCUCUACCCGCUUUCUCAUCCAUAAAUUGCUUUUAUUUAAAGUCUUAAUCAAAAUAGUACACACAUAUUGCUUUAAUUAAGUAGACACUGAUUUGUUUAAACCAACAUGUAUUAUUUAAAUGAUUAUGAUUUUGUGAUUUUAUAAAUAUCAUUUACAAAAGAGUUUAUUGAAUAACAUUUCCUUUAUUAUGUAUUAUUUUCCUUGAAACAGCAAUUACAUUAGUUUGCUUUCAUUUUCUAUUUAUCUUUCACUGACUCAUUCCCAAACACUGCCAGAAGUAUAAAUUUUUAUCAUUAUAUUCAAGUCCAUUCAUUUGUGUAUGAGACAUUAAUUUCCUGGUCAAGAAACAAAUCUGUUAUCUGUCCUGGAAGACACCAUCUAUCUUCCAAAGCUCUUUGCUAUAUAAACACCUUCAAAAGAUCAUCUGAAAUAGAAGCCGAUUUGACAUAUAGAAAUGUAAAAGACACACAGAGAAAUGUCUCCCAAUAAUGUUUGGGUCUUUCUAAUUUAUGCCACUGGUCUGAUUGUCUAUUCAUGUUAGUACCACAUUCUUUCAUUUAGAGACAUUCUAGUGUGUUUUAAUAUCUUACCCAAUUAGAGACCCUCAUAGAUUUUCCUUUUAAUAUUUUUCUGUCUAUUCCUAAAUUUAUGAGUUAACUCAGAGGCAAGUAAUCUUUUUAUGAUGUUGACUCAUCCCACCCAAGAAGAGUGAAUACUUUUUUGGGGCUCAAGAUUACACUAUAGCUAUAUAAAUUUCUUAUUGUUUUAUACAUUUUGCGUUUUUAAAAAAUACUUAAUAUUCUUUUGCCAUAACUUUUCUACUUUUAUGCAAUUUGAUAUUUGCAUAUAUGUAUAUUUAUUUCCAUAUAUUUACUGUUUUAUCCUACCUCUUUGUUGAAUUUUUAUUGUUUGAACUAGUUUUAGCAUUGAUUUUUUGGGUUUUCCAGAAUUACUAUAAUAUUUUCUUUACUAGUUCUUUUCCUCAAAUUGAUUUCUCUUGUUUAGAUGCAUUCUAUAUCUCUAAUACUCUGUUGAAGAAAAACUAGUUCCUUUUCUUAGAAGAAUUGCCAUUAAAUGUUUCCUCAUUCAAUAAGAUGCUGACUUUUGGACUAAGUUAUAUUUUAUCACGUUAAAAGGCAUAAAUCUAUUCCUUCUACCUAUUGCCUAUAUAUUACUCAAUGAGCUUAUUUUUUUCCCCUUUCCCUCCCUUUUUAUUCCAUUUUUAUUUUUCACACAAGACAAUAUAUUACCUUCUAUUCAUAUUUGUGUCUUCAUUUUAGCCCUAGAUCUAUAAUUAUAAAUAUUAAAAUGCUUACUAUCUUUUUGCUAAAGUUUUUCCCAGUUAUAAGUUUUGGAAGAUCCUCAUCCUCCAAAAAAUUCUUUAAGUAAGGCUUGUGGAUAUAGACUUUCUAAGUUUUUGUUAAACUUAAAUAUUUGGGCAACUUAAAUAUUUGGACAACUCGGAUAAUAUAAAACUCUUGGUUUGCACUUUGUUUCAUUAAUUUUUCUUUUUAAAAAAUAUGCUGUUCCAUUGUUGCCUUGCUGUGGUUGUUGUAGUUGAGAAAUCUUAUAUACUAGUUGAAUUUUUUGGCUGUUUUGUAAUUUAUUUGAUCUUUGGCUUGGAGAACUUGAGGAUUUUUUUUCUUUAUCAUUGACGUCUAAGUUUUACUAGAUUACAUCUUGUGGUCGGUUGGUCUGGGUUAAUUUUCUCAUGUGGCUGGUACAGUCUUUUCAGGUAUAUUUGUUGAAAGUUUUAUUGGAAUAUAACUUUAAGUAUUAUUGUAGUUAUGUUGGUUUGUUAUUUUUUUCUUUCAUAGACUUCAUUUAUACCUAUUAAAGUCUUUUGUCUUCUAUUUCCAGCACUUUCUCUGACCAUUUAUUCUGCUGCUUUAUCUCAUUUUUACUCUUCUGAUUUUUCAUUUUAAGUUGCUUUUCUUUUAUUCCUCUUAUUCCCAAUUUUCCCUUGGAUGUCUCGUGUAUUUCUAAGAACAUUUUAUCCUUUUCAUCUAGAUGUAGUAAUCACUCUUUUUCUUUCUCCCUUUUUAUGUUCAUUUUUGUAAUUACUAAAAUUUUGAUUCAAAAAUUUUUUUUUUGUGUGUGUGUGUGUCAUUUGUAUGCUUCUCAAAGUUGUUAUCUGAGUAUGUUUGAUUUUUAGUUUGGAUUGUUGUGUUACAGCUUGCUAUAUCUAUUUUUUCCAUCCUAUUCAUUUUGCAGUUUUGAGAUAAUUUAUAAGAUUCCUAAUUCAGUGGUUUCCUUUUCUCUUGGAACAAAAUUGAGUUUCUUUAGUUGUUUGGUGAUAGGGUAGGUAUUACGUGUGUUCUUCUUUUUGUCCCUUAUUUUGUCUUAAACCCUUAAAUUUUCUGUUUUUACUAUGUUCUCCUUUAUCAUUCAAUUGCCAGAGUAUGCUUCUCUCUUCCUUUUUUGCAUUUUUCUUUUCCAGAAAUUAUACCUUUCCAAGACUGAAAGUUCAAAUCACAUACAUUUAAAUGUUUUCUCUAUCAUAAAUGCUUUCAUGUUAUCAGAAUAACUUUUUAAUAGUUUCACAUUUAGAGUGAACUUUCUAUGACGGUGAUUUUGGAUCAAUCUUAGCCCCCUGGCAAGUUCCACACUUCUCUGUGCCCUUGGAUGUUUUUUCCCCAACAUGCCCUUGUACAUCGCAGAGACUUAUGAUGAUAGGAGCAUGUGUAUCACUCAUCAGAUUUUGGUGUGUUUUUCCUUUAAAAGAAUUUUUAGUUAUUUUAAAGUUUUUUUUUUUUUUUUUUUCAUCUUUGUGAAGGGCAUGGUUUAUGUAGUUUUAUCUAUUCACCUUUUUAGUGGUUAACGAAUCCGACUAGGAACCACAAGGUUGCGGGUUCUAUCCCUGGCCUUGCUCAGUGGGUUAAGGAUCCAGUGUUGCCGUGAGCUGUGAUAUAAGUUGCAGAUGCAGCUCGGAUCCUGCGUUGCUGUGGCUCUGGUGCA